UCACGGCCACAGAGCUCAAUAACCUCCGCAUCCCGUCUGAUCUGCGAAGAUAAUCUGAGCAUCGGAGAGCCAGUAGCCAGGUCGGGGACGACUGGCGAAUCCUCUGCUGUGAUUCU